GUCCACGCCCUAAACGAUGUCAACUGGUUGUUGGGGAUUUAUUCUCUUAGUAACGAAGCUAACGCGUGAAGUUGACCGCCUGGGGAGUACGGUCGCAAGAUUAAAACUCAAAGGAAUUGACGGGGCCCGCACAAGCGGUGGAUGAUGUGGAUUAAUUCGAUGCAACGCGAAAACCUUACCUACGCUUGACAUGUCCGAAAGCCUGAAGAGAUUUAGGUGUGCUCGAAAGAGAAUCGGAACACAGGUGCUGCAUGGCUGUCGU
rnacentral:rRNA from 1 species